CAGGGAUCUGUUUUUACGGUGGAAAGGAAAUGCAAAGCGGUAUGAGAAACACGGAAGCUUAUAAGACCGGUUUUUGCUAAGUAGCGCUUUACAAACCAGAAUCGACCAAACACACGUAUGCAGAACUUAAUCGGCACAGUCUUCGCUGAUGACUAUAUAUCUCGUCAGAAUACAUUGGAGUUGGAAAAGACUUCUGGAGAACUAGCUGAGAUUCUCUUGAUUCGUUACUUAUAGGAUCAAAAGUGUCCACACAAGUCGAACCACUGUGCUUCGUGCACGUCCUGUGCUGCUGAGAGAAGGCGCUUCAAGUUUCUU